rnacentral:rRNA from 1 species
UACGGAGGGGGCUAGCGUUGUUCGGAAUUACUGGGCGUAAAGCGCACGUAGGCGGGCUGUUAAGUCGGGGGUGAAAUCCUGGGGCUCAACCUCAGAAUUGCCUUCGAUACUGGCAGUCUUCGAGUACGGGAGAGGUGAGUGGAAUUCCCAGUGUAGAGGUGAAAUUCGUAGAUAUUGGGAAGAACACCAGUGGCGAAGGCGGCUCACUGGCCCGUAACUGACGCUGAGGUGCGAAAGCGUGGGGAGCAAACAGG